CCUACGGUAGGCAGCAGUGAGGAUUAUUGGUCAAUGGGCGCGAGCCUGAACCAGCCAAGUAGCGUGAAGGAUGACUGCCCUACGGGUUGUAAACUUCUUUUAUAAAGGAAUAAGUGAGGCACGUGUGCCUUUUUGUAUGUACUUUAUGAAUAAGGAUCGGCUAACUCCGUGCCAGCAGCCGCGGUAAUACGGAGGAUCCGAGCGUUAUCCGGAUUUAUUGGGUUUAAAGGGAGAGUAGGUGGAUUGUUAAGUCAGUUGUGAAAGUUUGCGGCUCAACCGUAAAAUUUCAGUUGAAAAUGGCAGUCUUGAGUACAGUAGAGGUGGGCGGAAGUCGUGGUGUAGCGGUGAAAUGCUUAGAUAUCACGAAGAACUCCGAUUGCGAAGGCAGCUCACUGGACUGCAACUGACACUGAUGCUCGAAAGUGUGGGUAUCAAACAGGAGUAGAUACCCGGGUAGUC
rnacentral:rRNA from 1 species